rnacentral:misc_RNA from 1 species
GCAAACUUGGUCAUUUAGAGGAAGUAAAAGUCGUAACAAGGUUUCCGUAGGUGAACCUGCGGAAGGAUCAUUAACAAAAUAUCUGGCUGGCGGUUCGCUGCCGUGCCAAUCCACCUUGCUGGGGUCUUGCCCUGGACUGCUUCAAAUCAGUCCGGAGCUAAGUGCGGUUCCUUCGAUCAACGUAACAAUUGAUCAUUUAGAGGGAGCUGCCUUGGUGCUUUGCGGCGCCAAGCCCGAAGGGACAGUGACUGAGCAUUCAUUUGCUCGGCACUAACUUUUAUAUUAUAUUAAAGUCUAAUAACAUGUCGAGAGACAACCAAUACAACUUUCAACAAUGGAUCUCUAGGCUCUUGCAUCGAUGAAGAACGCAGC